UACGUAGGGGGCAAGCGUUGUCCGGAAUCAUUGGGCGUAAAGCGCGCGUAGGCGGCCCUGUAAGUCCGUUGUGAAAGUCAAAGGCUCAACCUUUGAAAGCCGAUGGAUACUGCAGGGCUAGAGUCCGGAAGAGGCGAGUGGAAUUCCUGGUGUAGCGGUGAAAUGCGCAGAUAUCAGGAGGAACACCGGUGGCGAAGGCGGGUCUCUGGGCCGUAACUGACGCUGAGGAGCGAAAGCGUGGGGAGCGAACAGG
rnacentral:rRNA from 1 species